rnacentral:tRNA from 1 species
UAGGGUUAUAAUUAAUUAUAAUAUUUAGUUUGCAACUAAAAAGUAUUCAUUAAAUGAAUUGACCUUAU